GCCGGGCGAGGUGGCGGGUGCCUGUAGUCCCAGCUACUCCGGAGGCUGAGGCAGGAGAAUGGCGUGAACCCGGGAGGCGGAGCUUGCAGUGAGCCGAGAUCCGGCCACUGCAUUCCAGCCUGGGCGACAGAGCGAGACUCUGUCUCCCACUGUCGCCCAAGCUGGAGUGCAAUGGCGUGAUCUCGGCUCACUGCAGCCUCUGCCUCCCAGGUUCAAGCGAUUCUCCUGCCUCAG
rnacentral:SRP_RNA from 1 species